GAUGUCCGGCCCACCCUGACGGUGCUGCCCCCCUCCAGGGAGGAGCUGCAGCAGGGGACGGCCACGCUGGUGUGCCUGGCCGACAAGGGCUUCCCCUCCGACUGGAGUCUGGCCUGGAAGGUGGACGGCAGCAGCAGCAGCUGGGAGGAGAGCAGGAGCCCCGGGGUGCUGGGGGGGGGCGCCCUCUACAGCUGGAGCAGCACCCUGAGGCUCCCUACAGACCAGUGGGCCAAGGUGGGCUCCGUGACCUGUGAGGCCACCCAGGGCUCCCAGACUGCGCUCUCAGAGACGCUGAGGAGAGACCAGUGUUCCCAGUGAGCUGAGCCACUGGGGCUCUGAUACUGGUUCACUCUCAUACUGGUUCAGUCUGCCUGUAACUCUACAUUUUCUGUUCAUUUCUUGUUUUAAUCAUUGUCUAAGUUGCUGUUUCAUUCAAUAAGUUCUGUUCUUUUAUUUUGUUCAACAUAAUAAAUAACAUUUCAUCAAAU